UCCUCGUUAGCUCAGUUGGUAGAGCAUGCGGCUGUUAACCGCAGGGUCGUAAGUUCGAGCCUUACACGAGGAGCCA
rnacentral:tRNA from 1 species